AUUGAACGCUGUCGGCAGGCCUAACACAUGCAAGUCGAGCGGAGCGGCGAACGGGUGAGUAAUGCCUCGGCAUCUGCCUGGUAGUGGGGGAUAACGUCCGGAAACGGGCGCUAAUACCGCAUACUAUCAGAUGAGCCUCGGUCGGAUUAGCUAGUUGGUGGGGUAAAGUCCUACCAAGGCGACGAUCCGUAACUGGUCUGAGAGGAUGAUCAGUCACACUGGAACUGAGACACGGUCCAGACUCCUACGGGAGGCAGCAGUGGGGAAUAUUGGACAAUGAGAGAAAGCCUGAUCCAGACAUGCCGCGUGUGUGAAGAAGGUAUUCGGAUUGGAAAGCACUUUAAGUUGGGAGGCGUUACCAACAGAAUAAGCACCGGCUAACUACGUGCCAGCAGCCGCGGUAAUUC
rnacentral:rRNA from 1 species